UACGGGGGGGGCAAGCGUUGUUCGGAAUUAUUGGGCGUAAAGGGCUCGUAGGUGGCCAACUAAGUCAGACGUGAAAUCCCUCAGCUUAACUGGGGAACUGCGUCUGAUACUGGAUGGCUUGAGUUUGGGAGAGGGAUGCGGAAUUCCAGGUGUAGCGGUGAAAUGCGUAGAUAUCGAGAGGAACACCAGUGGCGAAGGCGAGUCCCUGGACAACACCUGACACUGAGGCACGAAAGCUAGGGGGAGCAAACAGG
rnacentral:rRNA from 1 species